UGUACGGAUCUGCACAUUUCCUCUUCCUUUUUCUGAAUGUUCUGUAUUGUUGAUUCAUUAACAGUGAACGCAUGGCCAACGGCAUGAUGACUCACGCCUGGAAGUGGCUCAUCUGAAACACGUAUUUUCUCUGUAAGGCACGUCACAGCUGUCCUGUGCUUAGGGAAGACCCCAGAUGGCACUCAGCACUAGGCUUGGGGGCCGCCUUAGAGAGGAACCACCGAUGAAAAGCGCAAAAAUGUGAAAAACAUGGCACUCAGUAGACCGUGAGAAGGAUGGGUGUUUGCAACCUGACAGCCGGAACAGAAGGCAGGGGGUCCUCUCUGCUUGGCCUCAGCUGGCAUCGUGCACAUCAAGACUCACAUUUUUUUUGCUUCUCUGGGCUGGUCCGUGAAUGACUCCAAAAGUGCAGUAAAUGCUGAUUUUGGGGUUACAAGUAAAUCAUAGCGGGUAGGCAAAUUCACAAAUAUGGAAUCCAUUGAAUAAUGAGGAUCAACGUACUCAACAACUGGAGAGCCCAGUGGGGAGGAACAUCUGUUAGAGAACAGGUAUAGAUGGCACAGGUGUAGACAGCGUGUGGAGGAGGCCGGUGGAGUGAGGUCACGGGGUGUGUGCGCAUGUGUGUAAAGCUUUGGAAACACACCUGGGCCCCUGAGUAUGAGACAGUCUGGGUAAAGGACAGAGGAGCUGCAAUCUGAGGGUGGAGCCGGCGUGGACGGGACCUGGCCUGAGUCCGUCAGCUCUAGGGCUGUGUGGUGGGGCCUCGGGCAGCUGAAGGACCAGGCAGGGAGGGAACCGCAUGGCCCGAUGAGGGAGGGUGCAGCCUCAGCCUAGCCUCCUGCCUGGGUAGAGUAGCCGCGGUGGCUCUUGCGUGUGGGCUCAGGUUGUGCUGGAGAAACUGAUGGGGCACUGAUGCCACAUGUCGGGUCCGUACUGGUGGCAGCUCCGCAAGGAGGUCCAGCGGUGUCUCAGGCACCACGUGUCCCCAUAAUACAGAUGAGGAAACGAGCCUCGCAGCCCAGAGACCAUCACUCGGGCCUUCACAUGCGCCUUUCCCGUGCUGUGAUCUGAUCUGGGAGGACGUGGAGGGGGCUGGAUCGGAUUCAGUGGUUAACCAGCUGCUAAGAGUGAGUCAUGAGAACUCCAAGGCUGUGACCCGAAGAGGCAGCAGGCAGUUGAAGCGCAGUCGGGUGUAGCCCUGGGAGAAGGUGGUGAGCUUCUCCUCCCCUGAAAGUUCUAGCAGCACCUGGUGCCCGAGUGGGAGCCUCACAGUGAUGCAGGCACGUUGCAGGGGGGCUCUGGGCGUGGGCAGCACAGAGGUGACUGUUUCCGGGAAGACAGGAUGUGGACAGAGCCAUCAGAGGUCAAGGAUGGAGGGGAAGGAGGGUUGUUGUAACGCUCUUUGUACACCAGGCACUUUCCCAAGCACCAGGGCAAUACUUUUUUUUUUAUGCGGUAUGCGGGCCUCUCACUGUUGUGGCCUCUCCCGUUGCGGAGCACAGGCUCUGGAUGCGCAGGCUCAGCGGCCAUGGCUUAUGGGCCCAGCCGCUCCGCGGCAUGUGGGAUCUUCCCGGACCAGGGCCCACCCGUGUCCCCUGCAUCGGCAGGCAGACUCUCAACCACUGCGCCAACAGGGAAGAAGGGCAGUACUUUUAAAAAGCCUGCUGCAGAGGAGGAAACUGAGGCUUAGAGAAAGGUUAUUCAAGGGGCUCCCACGGCCCUCAUUUAUUUGGAUCUGUGGGGUGCCUGGGCCUGCAGGGGUGGGUCCCUUAUAGACAUGAACCCACUGGGGCCUGACGGAAGGUGGCCAGGCGAUGGUAUCAUUACUGCCGUCACACGGAGGGGACGGUAACUAAGGCUUUGGGAGGUAAGGGAACGUGCCCAGACCACAGACCCCGUGGAGAGGAGCGAAGAUUUGAACCCCCAUCUCCCUGCUUCUGGCUGUUGCCUGCAGCCUGGUGCUGGCACUCUGACAGUAUUUGGGGACUGUUGAAAACCUGACCACGUCCUGACACAUCUUGUGGGAACAGGUAAGAGAAAUACUUGACUCUUAGGGCUAAGGGGAGAUGCUGGGCUCAUCUGCAGUUAUUUCCCUGCCUCUGCUGCCCUGGGGCACCUGGGAGGCUCUUGCCAAGUCAUUGGUGGCCCCUUGAAACUUCUUCCCCUCCUGGGACCUGAGUGCACUUUCGUCCUGCCUCCCUCUUUCCCGGUCACUUUUGUUUCUGCUGAGCCUGUGCCUGCCUGGGUGGCAGCUGUCUGCGUGAGGAGGGCCGGGUCAGUGACGUCCGUCCCUGUGAUCCUGGUCACAUUCCCACUGGGCGGCCACAGGCCAGUUCCUGGGAACUGCAUCAUCCAUGCAUCCGGGCUGAGGGCAGGCCGCUGGGUGAUGGGGGCACCUGUCCCGAAGCAGAGUCCCUGGUGAUUUACGGCAGGAGGGGGAUGUGCUAUUAACCCUCCUUGGCCCGCAGGACCGCCCUGCCUUGCAGUCUUGGCUGGAGAUUCCAGGGAAGAAGCAGCCACAUUGGGAGGCCUAGAAUCUUGCGUCAAGAUGGGUUCAGUGGGGAGACGAGGGGCAGCCUCUGACCCAGGGUGAAGGCUCCUGACAUAGAGCAGGUCUCGAGGCUUCCAGAAGGACCCAACCCCCUUUGGAGCCAUUGCUCCUCUUGCUGGGCUGGCUGUGCUUCCAGCAUCCUCCACGCUCCCAUGACUGGAGAGGGAGUGUGGCAGAUCUGAGGUUUUCUCUUCUGUGGUGCGAGGACCACCUGCAUUUGACCCCUUCCUGCCUGGUGGGCAGCAGGAAGCCAGGAAUGGGGCUAGUGGCCAGCAGGGUCUCAGCGGGGCAGUAUGAUGCUGGGGGUGCUGCCCCCCCCCCCCCCACCGAUGCCUGGUCUGUUGGGGGCUUCUCAGGGACAGUCCCCUUUUCCUUUCAAUGGCCUUUUGCUGAGGCCUGGCUGAUUCCCAUAAGUGCUGCUUGAAGCUGACAGAUGUGGUUUGUCACCACAGGAGGGGAAGCAGGAUGUGGAGUUCUGUCCCGAAUCUGAAACCAUGAGGCUCCUUGGAUGUUCCUCUUUUUCUUUUCUUUCUUCCCUCCCCCGCCUCCAUCCCCCCUUCCGUCUAUUAUCAAUAAAAUCAGUGAAAUUGCUGCUUCCACAUGGAUCGCCCUUCCCUCCCCCUCCUGUAAACCACUGGCAUUCCCUAGAGGGAGCAGCAGGGUGACUGAUUUCUCAGUUGAAGAAAAUCAGAGUAUGGGAUGUAUUUUUGCUACCAGUUUUGUCAACACGGGUAGGCCUCUUAUGUUGCCAGGCAACAGGGUUUGGUCCCCAGCCAGCGGUGACGUUUCUCUUGAACAUUUUGACUUAGCUUUCCUCGCCUGGGGACACCCCCUGCCCACCCUACUUUCCUCCUUUUCUCUCCCCCUUCCCAGUGUGACUUCCUGUCCCCCCUUCCCUUCUAGGAAAACUUCCCCCUGAGAAUCUGAUGGACUUAUUCACGCUGAGAAGUGGAUGACUGAUAGGCUUCGAGAUUUAUGGUCUUUGGAUGUUCAAGUAGUUCUGCUUAGAACCCAUAGCUUGGGUUUUUCUGCUUGGGGCUCAUCACACAGGGGGAGCUUCUUGAAAUGUGUGUAAGGGAACCAUGCCCAUCACACCAAGAGGGAGGCGCUGAGGAGUCCAGGCCAUAGACGAGUUUUCGUUUCUGCCUGGUGAAAGAUCCUUGUGGAGUUGAAGCCCUAAAGGUAGGGUUGGCAGACAGAAUACAGGACACCCAGUUCAAGUUGAAUUUCAGAUCGUUUUUUUUUAAGCAUCACUCUGUCCCAUGUAAACCUUGGGACACACUUCACUGAAACAGAUGAUUUGUUUAUCUGAAAUUCAAAUGGGCCUGGGAGUCCUGUAUUUUUAUUUGCUAAAUCUGGCAGUCCUGCUGAGGAGGGAAGCUGUGGUCUGAGUCAUCAGCCAGGCGGAGAAAGUAGUUGCCGCCCCUUCUCGGGGCUCCUGAAGUUACAGCGCUCAGCCAUGGAGAGUUGUGGUCCCCACCUUGCCACCUGGCAGGUACAGGACGGGCACUUGUGCUAGGAUUCCAAAUGACUAAAAUGCACUCAGCUUGGUGCUUCUAGGAGGAAAUGGGGUUCCUAAGAGAGGUGCCUGAGGCUGACAUUUUUUUCUGUCCCUCCCUGGCCCUCCCUAGCUUGAUCGCUGCAUUCCCAAGGGCCUCAUGGGAGGCCACAGCACUGGGUCUCCUCUGAAGGACCUUCCAGAAGGGGACACGGGUUCGAGUCCUGGUCUGGGAAGAUCCCACAUGCCGCGGAGCAACUAGGCCCGUGAGUCACAACUACUGAGCCUGCACGUCUGGAGCCUGUGCUCCGCAACAAGAGAGGCCGCGACAGUGAGAGGCCCGCGCACCGUGAUGAAGAGUGGCCCCCGCUCGCUGCAACUGGAGAAAGCCCUCGCACAAAAAUGAAGACCCAACACAGCCAAAAAAUAAAUAAAUAAAUAAAAUUAAAAAAAAAUGUUUGCUGAGUAAACUGCAAAUAAUUAAAAAAAACAAAAACAAACAUCACUGCCUUCAAGGAGUUAGCAGUCUUGUCAAGAAGGCCAAGUGAAGGAUAAAAUAAUUCGAGAUACGUUGUCAGUAUGUUCAUAUGUUGGACAGUUUUCAAAGUGUUAAUAACAUGGCAAACUGUUGAAAUAUAAGUAUAGAAGUUUGGUCCUGUAAAUUCAGAGGGUAAAAUUUCACCUGGCAACAAAUUUCCCGAAGACCCACUGCGACCUGGGUUAUAUAUCAGUCAGCUUGGAGGAGGCGAGGUCGAGUAGAAGGGGAAUUAUUUAGAUCUCAAGAGAAUGACAUUCACACCACACGAUUUAGUGUAUACCGUGAAGUCCUUAUUCAGGUGAGUUUUCACAUCACGUAAACGGGCACUUCGGAGGAUAUGUGCACCCAGAGAGAUCAAUGUCUCCAUUGAUCUGGAGCCGCAGAAGGAGAAAAUUACAAGGUGCAUGUGGAUGACUGACCACCAGGAAGUUGUGGCUUAUCCUUUGUACCCUAGCUUGGUACCUAAAUUAAACAGACUACACUAUUAAAAUAAGACAUUUCUUAAACAUCUGCCAUGUACUGGCCCCUUGGCUAGGUUUUGGGAAUUAAAAGUUCAGGAAUGGGGCUUCCCUGGUGGCGCAGUGGUUGAGAGUCCGCCUGCCGAUGCAGGGGAUACGGGUUCGUGCCCCGGUCCGGGAAGAUCCCACAUGCCGUGGAACGGCUGGGCCCGUGAGCCAUGGCCGCUGAGCCUGCGCGUCUGGAGCCUGUGCUCCGCAACGGGAGAGGCCACAAUAGUGAGAGGCCCACGUACCACAAAAAAAAAAAAAAAAAGUUC